rnacentral:rRNA from 1 species
CCUACGGGAGGCAGCAGUGAGGAAUAUUGGUCAAUGGACGCAAGUCUGAACCAGCCAUGCCGCGUGCAGGAAGACGGCCCUAUGAGUUGUAAACUGCUUUUGUACGGGGGUAAACGCAGAUACGCGUAUCUGUCUGAAAGUAUCGUACGACUAAGGCUCGGCUAACUCCGGUCCAGCCGCCGCGGUAAUACGGAGGAUUCAAGCGUUAUUCGGGUUUAUUGGGUUUAAAGGGUGCGUAGGCGGUCGUAUAAGUUCGAGGUGAAAUCCCGAGGCUCAACUUCGGAAGUGCCUCUGAUACUGUUCGGCUAGAGAGUAGUUGCGGUAGGCGGAAUGUAUGGUGUAGCGGUGACAUGCUUAGAGAUCAUACAGAACACCGAUUGCGAAGGCAGCUUACCAAGCUACUUCUGACGUUGAGGCACGAAAGCGUGGGGAGCAAACAGGAUUAGAUACCCGAGUAGUC